CUCUCCUGGGCGCCUCCGCCCCUGCCCUUGUGGGCUCCAUCAGCCCGGUACCUGGGGCUCCGUCUCCCCCGUCGGGCCCAAGCCUGUGUCGAACAGACAAACAGCUACAGCUCAACCAAACCCUCCAGCCCCUCCUCCUCCUCGCCCCGGGGCGGGGGCCUCAGCCAAUAGCACGAUUACCCGCCUACCGCCUAGGGUGGGCGAUGUGUGCACUAAUCCGCCAAUCCUCUGGAGAAGGGCGGGCCUCUUCCGGCGCUGUCACCAACGAGUACGAACGAGGGAUUGGACAGGCGGGGCUCUGGGCCAAUAUAGAGAGGGAAACCUUGAAGAUGGACGAGGUGAGGAGCCAUUAAAAAGCGAGCUUUCUGAGACAGAGGGCGGUACACUGCUGACAGGCGUACAUAUCAACCAAUAACAUCCGACACCCUUAUGACCCCGCCUUUUGGCUCAUAAACAUCUAAUCAGUAUCUUUAGAAAGCUGUUUGUGAUACGCAACAGAAAGGAAAAACGACUGCACUGGGAAAUGCGGCGUCAAGGAGAAUUCCCCUGGAGCCCACUUCCAACCACAUUGCUGCUUCUAAGUCCCACCUAAACCUCUGAAAUCCUGGAACUGUCGCCGUGACCCAGAGACCAGGACUGGCUUGGUGUCUCAAGGCCGCUCACAACUAAAACCUGGAACAGGCUGCUGUAUCCAGAGUGGACAG